rnacentral:rRNA from 1 species
GAUGAACGCUGGCGGCGUGCCUAAUACAUGCAAGUCGAGCGAACGGACGAGAAGCUUGCUUUUCUGAUGUUAGCGGCGGACGGGUGAGUAACACGUGGAUAACCUACCUAUAAGACUGGGAUAACUUCGGGAAACCGGAGCUAAUACCGGAUAAUAUUUUGAACCGCAUGGUUCAAAAGUGAAAGACGGUCUUGCUGUCACUUAUAGAUGGAUCCGCGCUGCAUUAGCUAGUUGGUAAGGUAACGGCUUACCAAGGCAACGAUGCAUAGCCGACCUGAGAGGGUGAUCGGCCACACUGGAACUGAGCCACGGUCCAGACUCCUACGGGAGGCAGCAGUAGGGAAUCUUCCGCAAUGGGCGAAAGCCUGACGGAGCAACGCCGCGUGAGUGAUGAAGGUCUUCGGAUCGUGAAACUCUGUUAUUAGGGAAGAACAUAUGUGUAAGUAACUGUGCACAUCUUGACGGUACCUAAUCAGAAAGCCACGGCUAACUACGUG